UUUCUUCAGCCCGGGUGUCCUCUGUUGUUGUGGUGCUGCAUGCUCUGUCCUUGGUUGGUGAUGCAGGGUGCUUGUUUUUGUCAUGCACGGAUUGAACGAGCACAGGUGAGAAUUUGGUUCCCUUCCUUCUCUGCUUCGUAGAAAAAUUACAGUAACUUGUGUGGCCGGUAGCUGAUGGUUUGGUACCUUGUAUUGAUUUGGCAGUGGGAGGUAUGAUCAUCUGGCGUAACGGUUGAACGCCAUGGAUGUCAAGGUUUAUGGCAUGGACUGGACUGGUGAGUUUCUCUUUCAUUUUUCCUCUGUUCUCAUUUGAUUUUGGUUACAUGAUGCUUAGUGUACGUUAGUGCUUAACAUUGCUUGACGGAAAAUAUUCAAGGUAAUUUAUUUUCUGAAUUGCGAAUAAAAGAGACCAAGGAUGUCGAACUCUCAUCUAAGUUUCCCCCAGACUGUAAACACUUAAGGGAUUGGAUGAGUGGUCCAUACUCUGUUUUUUGUCCAUCUAAGGAUUUGUAUUACUAUGCAAAGCAUAAAAAUGUCGGCUAAUUUUUGCCGUCGGUAGUUAAGCAUAGUUCUUUGUUUUGUGUUGGACAAUCAAGUUGUUAACUUAAAUUUGAGACUAACCAUGCGGAUGUUGGACAAUCAAGUUGUUAACUUAAAUUUGAGACUAACCAUGCGGAUUUUAUUGACUCUGAAGAUCAAUAAAAUUUUCUAAUGACGUGCAACCAAUAUGUCGGUGAAACUGGGGCAAUAUUUUCAUUGUUGUAUACUAUUGUUACACAUAUGAUUUCAUAGUUUGGCAAGUAUCACAGAAUUUGUGGUUGAGUACUUAUAUCCAAAAUCAUCGUGUUAGCACUGAAGUUACUUUAUGUAUUGUUAUUGAGUUGCCUUAAUGUUUCCCGUGCUAUCAAGAUCCAUCUAUGUUCUAUUUUUUAUAACCAUCCAAAAUCGCUAAAGCUGGCAGUCCAAACAAAUUGUGACAUGUCAUGUUUGAUCAAAUUUAUAUCGUUAUUCUGAUUACACAUUUGUGGUGAUAAUCGUAGUGGAGUAAAAACACAUUUUUCAGUUGGAUGUUUCCAUACUGGUUUUACAUUAUUCACAUGCCAAUCCAUGUGUUUUCUGUUUUAAUAGUGUCAUUAUGAUAGAUGAAGCUCAUGAAAGAUCCAUUUCAACCGACAUCUUGCUGGGACUCCUAAAACAGGUUCGCAAUUUUAAAUGUGCAAGUCUGGUUUCUCUUCAAGUCAUUUGUGAAUAAUGUUUAGUUUCCCGCAUGGCAUGUUUCUUUUCAUCAAUCGAUCAGAUUCAACACUGUUGGCCAGAGUUGCGCCUAAUUCAUACUGAUGUUAAGGAUGAAUCUUUGUUUUCUAAUAGGUCAGACUGGAUUCUAUG
rnacentral:lncRNA from 1 species